rnacentral:pre_miRNA from 1 species
UGUUGAACAAAGUCCAUAAUCUAUUUGUAUUGUUAAAAACUAACAUGGUUGACAAAAUAACCGACAGUGACAUGUGGCAUGCCAUGUGUAACUCAUACUGAUGUAUAAGGACUAGAUUAUAUCAGUAAAAAUAAAUGGAAUUUUUAAUA